CGGGGCCGGGGCGCGGCCGGGCAUGCAGCCGGGGGCCCGCGCGCCCGCGUGAGGGGGUCGCGCCCGGGGGCCCCCGCCAUGGCCGGCCAGGACCGCGGCGACCUGAAGACGGCGAGGCUGUGGCGCGACGCCGCCCUGCGCGCCCGGAAGCUGCGGAGCAACCUGCGGCAGCUCACGCUGAGCGUGGCCGGGGCCGAGCGGCCCGAGCCGGCCGGCGCCCCGCGGCGGCUCGUGCUGCCCGCCGACGUCGGGGACAUCGAGGUGCUGAACCUGGGCAACAACGGCCUGGAGGAGGUGCCCGACGGGCUGGGCUCGGCCCUGGGCAGCCUGCGCGUGCUGGUCCUGCGCCGCAACCGCUUCGUGCGGCUGCCCCCGGCGGUGGCCGAGCUGGGCCGCCACCUCACCGAGCUGGACGUGAGCCACAACCGGCUGGCCGCCCUGGGCGCCGAGGCGGUGGGCGCCCUGCGCGAGCUGCGCAAGCUCAACCUGAGCCACAACCAGCUGCCCGCGCUGCCCGCCCAGCUGGGCGCCCUGCCGCACCUGGAGGAGCUGGACGUGAGCUUCAACCGCCUGGCGCACCUGCCCGACUCCCUGGCGGGCCUGGGCCGCCUGCGCGCCCUCGACGUGGACCACAACCAGCUCACCGCCUUCCCCCCGCAGCUGCUGCAGCUGGCCGCCCUGGAGGAGCUGGACGUGUCCAGCAACCGCCUGCGGGGCCUGCCCGACGCCAUCGGCCGCCUGCGCGGCCUCAAGAUCCUGUGGCUGAGCGCGGCCGAGCUGGGCGCCCUGCCCGACGGCUUCUGCGAGCUGGCCAGCCUGGAGAGCCUCAUGCUGGACAACAACGGGCUGCAGGCCCUGCCCGCCCGCUUCAGCCGCCUGCAGAGGCUCAAGAUGCUCAACCUCUCCUCCAACCUCCUGGCCGAGUUCCCGGCCGCGCUGCUGCCCCUGGCCGGCCUGGAGGAGCUCUACCUGAGCCGCAACCGCCUCACCUCGGUGCCGCCGCUCAUCUCCGGCCUCGGCCGGCUGCUCACCCUGUGGCUGGACAACAACCGCCUGCGCUACCUGCCGGACUCCAUCGUGGAGCUGACCGGCCUGGAGGAGCUGGCGCUGCAGGGCAACCAGAUCGCCGUGCUGCCCGACCGCUUCGGCCAGCUCUCGCGGGUGGGGCUGUGGAAGAUCAAGGACAACCCCCUGAUCCAGCCGCCCUACGAGGUCUGCAUGAAGGGCAUCCCCUACAUCGCCGCCUACCAGCAGGAGCUGGCGCACUCGCGGCCCGCCGUGCGGCCCCGCCUCAAGCUGCUGCUCCUGGGCCAGAAGGCGGCGGGGAAGACGGCGCUGCGCCGCUGCCUGACGGAGCCGGGGCCCGAGGGGGGCGCGGGGGGCGCCCCCGCCCCGUCCCCCGCCGCCGCCCCCGCGAGCAAGGGCAUCGAGGUGACCAGCUGGACGGCCGACGCCCCCCGCGGGCUGCGCUUCGUGGUGUACGACCUGGCCGGGGACGAGAGCUACGAGGUGAUCCAGCCCUUCUUCCUGUCCCCCGGCGCGCUGAACGUGCUGGUGGUGAACCUGGCGGCCUACGAGCCGCGCCGCUUCCCCGCGGCCGUGGGCUCCUUCCUGCGGCGCGUCGGGGCGCGGGUGCCGCGCGCCGUGGUGUGCAUCGUGGGCACGCACGCCGACCUGUGCGGCGAGCGCGAGCUGGAGGAGAAGUGCCUGGACAUCCACCGGCAGAUCGCGCUGCAGGAGCAGCGGGACGCGCAGGGCCUGGGCCGCCUGGCGCGCCGCGUGGACGAGGCCCUGGCCCGCGACCCCGAGCUGCGCGCCGCCAGCCCGCACGCCGCCUACUGCGGCGUCUCCGACAAGAACCUGCGCCGCCGCCGCGCCCACUUCCAGUACCUGCUGCACCACCGGCUGCAGAUCCUCUCCCCGGUGCUGCCCGUCAGCUGCCGCGACCCCCGCCAGCUGCAGCGCCUGCGCCGCAAGCUGCUGGCCGUGGCCGAGCACCGCGAGAUCUUCCCGAACCUGCACCGCGUGCUGCCGCGCUCCUGGCAGGUGCUGGAGGAGCUGCACUUCCAGCCGCCGCAGGCGCGGCGCCUGUGGCUGAGCUGGUGGGACUCGGCGCGCCUCGGGCUGCAGGCCGGCCUCACCGAGGACCGGCUCCAGAGCGCCCUCUCCUACCUGCACGAGAGCGGCAAGCUGCUCUACUUCGAGGACAGCCCGGCCCUCAAGGAGCACGUCUUCCACAACCUCGCCCGCCUCAUCGACAUCCUCAACGUCUUCUUCCAGAGGGACGCCGCCCUGCUGCUGCGGAAGCUGCUCCAGGGGGCCCGCGGGGAGGGCCCGGGGGCGGACCGCGACGACGACGACGACCGCGCGCCCCCCGCCGCCGCCGCCCAGCUGCACCACUACGUCGAGGGCUUCCUGCGGCACGGGCUCCUGCCGGCCCACGUCAUCCGGCUGCUGCUCAAGCCGCACGUCGAGGCCCAGCAGGACCUGCAGCUGCUGCUGGGGCUGCUGGAGAAGAUGGGCCUGUGCUACUGCCUCAACAAGCCCAAGGGCAAGCCCCCCAACGGCCCCGCGACGGCCUGGUACAAGUUCCCCAGCUACGUGCAGAACGAGGUGCCCCACGCCGAGGCCUGGAUCCACGGGACCAACCUGGCCGGCGGGCCGUCCUUUGGGGCUGAGCAGUUGCAGAUCGAAUACAGCUUCCCCUUCACCUUCCCACCCGGGCUGUUCGCGCGCUACAGCGUCCAGAUCAACAGCCACGUGGUGCACCGGUCCGACGGGAAGUUCCAGAUCUUUGCCUACCGGGGGAAGGUCCCCGUGGUGGUGAGUUACAGACCCGCCAAGGGGGUCCUGCAGCCCGACACCCUCUCCAUCGCCAGCCACGCGUCCCUACCCAACAUAUGGACCGCCUGGCAGGCCAUCACCCCCUUGGUGGAGGAACUGAACGUCCUGCUGCAGGAGUGGCCGGGACUGCACUACACCGUGCACAUCCUCUGUUCUAAGUGCCUUAAGAGAGGGUCGCCCAAUCCACACGCCUUCCCCGGGGAGCUGCUGAGUCAGCCCAGGCCGGAAGGAGUGGCCGAAAUCAUCUGCCCCAAGAAUGGCAGUGAGAGAGUGAACGUGGCCCUGGUCUACCCACCCACGCCGACUGUGAUCAGCCCCUGUUCCAAGUAUCUUCAUCCUCUCUUGGAAAAUUAAGUGGAAAUGAUAGUGCAUCUUUCCCUAAUGCCAACAUUUUUACUGUAUCCACUCUGUGACUUUAGGAGCACCAGUUUUUAAGGGAAGAACGUUGGUGAAAAGCACAGACACCAGUGACUUUUCGUGGCUGUGGAAUUUCCAUGGAGAGGACGGAGCGUGGAACUCACCGGGCUCCUCUAGUGCACCCGCGAGCCCCCUCUCCCAGGCGCAUCCCGCGGCCGGGUGAAGCUGCGUUCCAGGUGCUGGCGGGAGUCACCGCAGAGACGUGGAGGGCGGGGAAGGAUGACAGGAACACGGAGCAUACGAUUCACAACCUGAACCUCAGAACCGGAUCCUCCAAGCAGAGCGCUACUUGAAGAAAAGAAAAAAAAGUCUAAUGGCUUCUCAGGGAUUUUGUUUUCCGUGCACAUUUAAGCCAUAGUGACAGUACAGGUGGCAGUAUUUUGAGCACUCGGGUUUCAGUUCUGUUCAAUGUGAAAGAUGGAUCAAUCGACUGACGUUCAUUGCUGUUCCGUCACUAGUGUAAAAUAUGUAUAUGUUUAUCUUUAUUUUUAUAAUAUGCAAAUACAUUUAAAUUUAUACAGUUUGAAGCUUCUAGCAUUAGUUGACACUGGGUGCAAUAUUUUGCAUGAGAACUGUGCCAAGAAGAGGCUGAUUUCUUAUUUUAGUAUCAAACAUUUUUUGUUCUUUCCUUAUUCUUUACUCCAUCUUCUCAGAUUACAAUGGAGAGGUUUAAAAAAAACAAGAUAUCUAUUAGCUCCUGGGUUUGCAUUGAUUCAAAGAAAUUGCCAGUAAUUAGCAAGAUCUUGCAACAAGCAUUUCAGAAAAAGCCCCUGCCUGGCAGUUCUCUUGCAUGGCAGGGAGAUGAUUUCUGUUCUCUUCCGACAUUAGCAUGACAGCAGCCUCUUGUAGCGGGCCCAAGGGGGCAAACAAUCCAUGGAAAACUUGGGUCUUUCAAUAGCUUGAGAUAAUCGGGAGUUCAUUCUGAGUCACACGAGCGCUUCUGCUUAUAUUAAGUCCCUGUUCUAGAACAGAGUUCAGCAAUUAGCAGAAUGAAUGCGUUGCCAGCUCCUCCGCAUCUGGCUGAGAACGUGCUCUGGAGAAGGCAGUCCCACGUUGCCUAUUUAUCCACACAGAGCCUCUCGUUGGACAUCCACUGCCAAGAAGUAGUAAAAGCCUUGUUUUAGAAUCUACAGGAGGGAAAACUUAGAAGCAAACCCAACAAACUACUCUGCCUCCUAAUUGGGGCCACGCAGCACAUGCUGUAGUAGUAACACGUUCUUUGAGGAAUGUAAAGGGCUCUGUUUACAUCUGCCUUCCCCUGUGAGGAUAGAAAGCUAGUGUCAGACAAGAAAGUGAGUCCGCUGGUAUGACUCAGUCGCUUCCCUUACAAAGUACUGACUGUCGGAAUGCCAUAGCGCGCAGUCUCCACACACUUACACCUGGGGAGUGAACACACACACAACUGCACUUAGAGAAUUUGCAAAUCCGUUUGCGUAGGGACAGACAGUCAACUCCCUUGACUUCAGAACCCGAUCAUAAAGUCAAGUGGGGUAGUCUAUUUGUAGGUGUUUUGUUGUUUUUUUUUUUAAAAAAGAAAAAUUGAAUAUGACACUUGAUGGGAAAGGAAAAUUUCAUUUUCCUAUAGAACAUAGUCACAAGAUGAAUUUACUUAAUCCUUUUGUCACAGUUCUCAGUGUGUGUGUGUGCGUGUGUGUGUGUAUGUGUGUGUGUACAUGUACUGAAUGAUAACAUUGAAUUGCUUUAUGGACCAUUGGAAGUUAGAAUUUUUUAUUUGGCCCCGGACAGUUCUUCAGCUGUCUGUCUAAUCAACCAACUUUGUCCAGUCUUUCAAAAGACUUCCAAAUGUAUGACUUGGGGCUCACUCCCCAGAGGUUCUAUCGAGUGAACGUAGUGUCACUGGGCUGAGCCCCUGCAAAGGAUUUGCUAUUUUCAUGAACCCGUAUGCCCAUGUUCUUAAUAUCUACUCCUUUUUUUUGACAAGUGAUGUUUUGUGCUGUUACCUGAACCCUAGAGAAGCAGUGCAUGAGGAAGCCUAGUGUGUUGUGGCCAAAGGAUUGUCAUGGUAGGGGGUCAUAGGACCACAAGAAGCUCUGGAAAAGCAUGAGAACCUGCUUCAGCAUGGGGUGGGGCGGUUGAGGAGACAGCACUGCUCUAGAGGAAUUUUUGCCAUCUAUGUAGGAAAUUCCAUUUUGUCUCUCACCACCUGGAAAGACUCAGCCACCAGCCAAGGCUGACAGACCAUUUACUAAGCACAAGAGGAGUUUGUUCCACCCAGUGAGUCCCUUGCCUCCCAAACAAAUGCCCUCCAAGUUUGUUAUGGUUUCUAUUCCUGCAAAACCACUUCCUGGAAUUGUAAAAGCGCUGCCAGAAUAAAUGUUUUCCCCCUUCUAAGAAAAAAACAGCUCUGCUCCUAUUGACACUUGUGUGUUGGACUCUUCUGUCUGAAUAAAGAG